rnacentral:rRNA from 1 species
CCUACGGGGGGCAGCAGUGAGGAAUAUUGGUCAAUGGACGCAAGUCUGAACCAGCCAUGCCGCGUGCAGGAAGAAGGUGCUAUGCAUUGUAAACUGCUUUUAUACGGGGGUAAUUACAGAUACGUGUAUCUGGAUGAAAGUACCGUAUGAAUAAGGAUCGGCUAACUCCGUGCCAGCAGCCGCGGUAAUACGGAGGAUCCGAGCGUUAUCCGGAUUUAUUGGGUUUAAAGGGUGCGUAGGCGGUCAGGUAAGUUAGAGGUGAAAGCUCGAUGCUCAACAUCGAAACUGCCUCUGAUACUGUCUGA